AGCACAGCGGGUAGGGCGUUUGCCUUGCAUGUGGCCGACCCGGGUUUGAUUCCCAGCCAUCCCGUGUGGUCCCCCGAGCAUCGCCAGGAGUAAUUCCUGAGUGCAUGAGCCAGGAGUGACCCCUGUGCAUUGCCGGGUGUGACCCAAAAAGCAAAAA